rnacentral:misc_RNA from 1 species
AACGCACAUGGCGCCCGCCGGUAAUCCGGUGGGCAUGCCUGUCCGAGCGUCAUUUCAACCCUCAGAACCCCUUCGGGGCGUUACUGGUGUUGGGGAUCGAGAGCCUAGGCUCCCGUCCCUUAAAUCUAUUGGCGGCUCCGGAGUCUGUCUCCCCUGCGUAGUAUUGCAUCUCGCUUUGGUGACUUCCCCGGGCUGCUGUGGCUCUGCCACGAAACCCCCACUAGGUUGACCUCGGAUCAGGUAGGGAUACCCGCUGAACUUAA